rnacentral:rRNA from 1 species
UAAGCGUAGACGGUGGAUGCCUUGGCAGUCAGAGGCGAUGAAGGACGUACUAACCUGCGAAAAGCGAUGGUGAGCUGGUAAGAAGCAUUUGAGCCAUCGAUGUCCGAAUGGGGAAACCCACCUGCAUAAGCAGGUAUCUUAGCGUGAAUACAUAGCGCUAAGAGGCGAACUCGGGGAACUGAAACAUCUAAGUACCCGAAG